rnacentral:rRNA from 1 species
ACCCCGGGAAACCGGGGCUAAUGCCGGGUAACCAUUCGGUUCUCCUGAACCGAAUGUAAAAGGAUGGCUUCUUGCUAUCGCUUACAGAUGGGCCCGCGGCGCAUUAGCUAGUUGGUAAGGUAACGGCUUACCAAGGCGACGAUGCGUAGCCGACCUGAGAGGGUGAUCGGCCACACUGGGACUGAGACACGGCCCAGACUCCUACGGGAGGCAGCAGUAGGGAAUCUUCCGCAAUGGACGAAAGUCUGACGGAGCAACGCCGCGUGAACGAUGAAGGCUUUCGGGUCGUAAAGUUCUGUUGUGAGGGAAGAACAAGGAUCGUGCGAACAGAGCGGUCCCUUGACGGUACCUCACGAGGAAGCCCCGGCUAACUACGUGCCAGCAGCCGCGGUAAUACGUAGGGGGCAAGCGUUGUCCGGAAUUAUUG